rnacentral:rRNA from 1 species
AACCCUAAAAAGUUCUCUACACACAAAAGUUUAGUCCUGACUUUAAAAUCAAUUACCCCCCUAACUUACACAUGCAAGUCUCCCCGCCCCUGUGAGUACACCCUUUUCCUCCCCUCCGGAGCAAGGAGUUGGUAUCAGGCGCACCUAAGCCCAAGACACCUAGCAACAGCCACGCCCACAAGGGUCACAGCAGUGAUUAACAUUAGAAAUAAGCGCCAGCUUGACCUAGUCAGGGGACAAAGGGCCGGCUAAACUGGUGCCAGCCGCCGCGGUUACACCAAGAGGCCCAAAUUGACUCUACUCGGCGUAAAGAGUGGUUAAAGCCAAAAACAAGUAGAGCUAAACCCGAGCUAGGUGGUAACAUACCUGCUCUACGGAAACCCAUAAACGAAAGUUGCUCUAUCUAACACAGCUUGAACCCACGACAACCGGGGUACAAACUAGGAUCAGAUACCCUACUAUGCCCGACCAUAAACUUUAAUUUACCUCCACCAU